CUGUCAUAUUGUUGUUAACUGAACCACUUGGCUUUCCUUUGGGUUUGACCUUAUGAAUCACUGAAGCCAUCUUUGGUGGGUUAGACCUCUCCGGUGAUGUCCGGGUCUGUCUCUCCUUCCGCCUAAGUAUACUAUCUGCUUCCCGCCUAGCCUCCUGUCUUUCUUGAGGUGUUCUAGGAUCCCUUAACACUUUCUUUAUUUGGUUCCGUCUCCCUCUUUGGAAGUGAGUGAACUCGUCCUGUUCCUCUUUUGUAAAUGUCAUCGUGUUUCUCUUCACCGUUUCCAUAAUGCCCCCAGUACAUUUGUUAUGUCUGGCAUCUAUCCGGUUUGCAAGUCCUUUGCAAGUACUGCAGCGGAAAAUGAAUCCAGAAUGGGCGGCAGUCAUGUGGCGCUCCACAAAGUAUAGCUUAGCAUAGUCUGUGUGGUCGUUGCACAUCUGGCAUUCAUAUCUGGUAAUUGUCUAUAAAGGAACAAAAGUCAGUUUGAAUACCAAUUUGAAUUUACCAAUUACUUAGAUUUUUAAACAUUUAACAUCACAUCCCAAAUUCCUAUCCAGCAUGGAUAAAUAGAAUUACUUCCUACCUAGUCCCCCCAGGUAAGUGUGCCCUUGUAAGCCUUCAUAUGAUUGUGAUGAACAAUUUUUGCUUUACUCCUACGGGUUUUCCUUACCCGAUAUACAACAUCACUGAUCUUUUGAUCCACACAGUAGGGACCCUCCCAGUGACGGUGAAGUUUUGAACCUUUCCCUUUAUAACUAGGGUUAUACAACCAGACAAGAUCUCCCUCUUUAAAUUGGUUUAAUUGUAUAUUUCUGUCAUGGUCUUUCCUCAUACUGUCAGUAGUCAGUUUAACUCGUCCUCUACCAAACUCAUGUAUUUUGUCUAAUGUUUGACUCAAAGCCAUAGCAUAAUCUGUCUGGAUUUUGUCAUUUUCAGAUCUUAUCCGUCCCAGAACGAGGUCAAUUGGAAGAUUGAUGCUUCUCCCGAAUGUCAUCUCGCUGGGAGAAACUCCGGUGGAUUCAUGUACAGAAGAGCGAUAAGCCAUCAUGAUUGUCUCCCCUGAACUGCCAUGAGCCUGUUGAGUGUUGUCCACCACACUUGUAACUGAUGAAGUCUCUGAAGUUGCAUCCUUAUCUGAACCCUGUGACCUGGUGGUUACACGUAAGCAUGAGGUAUCAGGACUGCACCUAGCCCUUCAUUGGAAGCAUCCGUAUCCAAGAUGUAGAGUCCAUCAACCUUUGGAUAAGCCAGGAUCGGGGCACUUGUGAGUGCUCUCUUCAACAGGUCGAAAGCUUCCUGACAGUCUCCAUCCCAAACAAAUUUCUGGUACA